CGCAAGCCUGAACGAGCGAUGCCGCGUGAGUGAAGAAGGCCUUCGGGUCGUAAAGCUCUGUUGCGGGGGAAAAAAGGCAGCAUCAGGAAAUGGGUGCUGACUGAUGGUGCCCCGCCACGAAAGUCACGGCUAACUACGUCGCC
rnacentral:rRNA from 1 species